rnacentral:rRNA from 1 species
UCCUACGGGAGGCAGCAGUAGGGAAUCUUCCGCAAUGGACGAAAGUCUGACUGGAGCACCGCCGCGUGAGCGAUGAAGGCCUUCGGGUCGUAAAGCUCUGUUGUUAGGGAAGAACAAGUAUCGGAGUAACUGCCGGUACCUGACGUACCUACCAAAGCCC